GAUGAACGCUGGCGGCGUGCCUAAUACAUGCAAGUCGAGCGAACAGACGAGGAGCUUGCGCCUCUGACGUUAGCGGCGGACGGGUGAGUAACACGUGGAUAACCUACCUAUAAGACUGGGAUAACUUCGGGAAACCGGAGCUAAUACCGGAUAAUAUAUUGAACCGCAUGGUUCAAUAGUGAAAGACGGUUUUGCUGUCACUUAUAGAUGGAUCCGCGCCGCAUUAGCUAGUUGGUAAGGUAACGGCUUACCAAGGCGACGAUGCGUAGCCGACCUGAGAGGGUGAUCGGCCACACUGGAACUGAGACACGGUCCAGACUCCUACGGGAGGCAGCAGUAGGGAAUCUUCCGCAAUGGGCGAAAGCCUGACGGAGCAACGCCGCGUGAGUGAUGAAGGUCUUCGGAUCGUAAAACUCUGUUAUUAGGGAAGAACAAAUGUGUAAGUGACUAUGCACGUCUUGACGGUACCUAAUCAGAAAGCCACGGCUAACUACGUG
rnacentral:rRNA from 1 species